rnacentral:lncRNA from 1 species
GAUAGUAGCAUUACAACUUACAAUAUUCAAACAGCAUAUCUGAAUGUCCACAGAUGAACACGAGAUCGAGAAUCAAGUUCUAGACAAGGGUUUACACAAUAAAAUUAAAUAGAUCAGAACAUGGUUUCCCCAUUUUAUUUUAACUUUUUUUGAAUCUGCAAGUGCACGAGAGAGUCUGUAGUGAAACAUGUAACUUGAUUAUGUUACCAUAUUGGAUAUGUAUUUGCUCCAUUUAUGUUUAGGUUUUCACCUGUCUACAAGUGCCUUCUUAUCGAUGUAUUCAGGGACAUACUCAUCCGCCAUUGAAAAAAUAACCUGUAGAUAAAACACUUACAAGAUGUAAAAUUCAGCAGCCAUAAAAAGUCAGAAACUCGAAGCUGAAUUCGUAAUGCAACCAUGCACAACACCAACGAAAGUAAGUAAUUUUGUGCACUUUGCAGCAUACAGUUAAAUUCACAACAUGCAUUGAGGCAAAGAAUUGAAUUUUUAGAACACCGGCUCAUAACCAUUUUGUCAGUACUAGCGCACCGACGAGGGUCAAGAAACAGAGAGCAAGGAAGAGCAUCGGCAAGAAAAAGACAGAAGGAACAAGCGGGUGAUUCAAAAGUAGUGAGUUGGGCUAUAAGCAUGGUUUGGGUGUUGGGCCAUGGCCCGGCCAAGUCUUGUAAUCGACUUGUGCAUAUAUAAGCAACAGUCGAGUUCUGUAAGACGGCAUCGAUGAAAUGAAUUGAGUCACAGCCUCUCGUUCGCUCUUAUCCUCUGUCGCCUUCUUCUACCUUCCAAUCUCCUUCCCCGAUCUAGAUCCCCUUCUCCAGCUCCGAUCCAAUCGCCGGUGAACUCCUUCAACCCCUAGGGCGUGACAAUCUUGUAUCAGAGCCGUCGCUCCGCUCGCUCUCAUUUUUUUCCCAAAUCGUACCCGGCAAAUCCGAGGCGACGGUGGCAGAUCCCCUAGGGUUGAUCUGCGUAAUUCCUGACCUGACGUGGGUUGAUUUGGGGAACAAGCUGCAACCACGACGACAUUCAAGCCGAACCUGCAGAUGUGCUUCCUCGCAGAUGAGAUGGAGGCGCUGCAGGAGAGGAUGCUGAAGGAGUUUGCCAAGAUGCGCGCAGUGUAGGUCAAGCUCGCGGUCGUGGACGGCAUCAGCACAUAGCUCGAAGUUCUCGACGCCAAACUCACCGAGCAAUCCUCCCGCAUCGACCAAGUCCAGAUGAAGGUGAAUCUCUUGUGCGACACCCUGGGAAAAGUUCAGCAAGAGCAAGCGCACGCCGCGCAACUAGGUAAGCAACCGAUCCCUCAAGGAUUUGGAGAGAGUUCUUCUCCAACCGCAUCGGAGGUGUCGAACGGCAUAUUGGACGCCAUGCUAGGGGUGCCACCGCGGCCACCUCUGCGUUUUUCCCACGUACAACAUCCACCACCACCAAUAGAUACCACUGCACUGCAUGGGGAUGAGGAUCAGUCGAAGUCGAACAAAAGACAGUGGAUGCUCAAGAUAGAUUUCCCUAGGUUUGAUGGCAUGGAUGUUCGAAUUUGGCUUGACAAGUGUGAGGCAUUUUUUCACCUGUACCACAUCCCGGACAACUUCAGAGUUACAUCUGCUUCUCUAUACCUAACUGAUAAUGCAGCAUACUGGUAUCAGGCGUUUAAACAGCAAAGUGCCUUUCACACGUGGGAGCAGUUCUGUGUUGCUGUGUUACAAGAGUUUGAUGUCAAUAUCCAUAGGGAAAGGAUGAAGGAACUCAUGUUGCUUAUGUUGGAAAUAUGCCCUAGAGGCAAUAAUAAAAUGGUUAUUAUUAUAUUUCUUUGUUCAUGAUAAUUGUCUGUUAUUCAUGCUAUAACUGUGUUAUCUGGAAAUCGUAAUACACGUGUGAAUACAUAGACCACAACAUGUCCCUAGUAAGCCUCUAGUUGACUAGCUCGUUGAUCAACAAAUAGUCAUGGUUUCCUAACUAUGGGCAUUGGAUGUCAUUGAUAACGGGAUCACAUCAUUAGGAGAAUGAUGUGAUGGACAAGACCCAAUCCUAAGCAUAGCUCAAAGAUCGUGUAGUUCGUUUAGCUAGAGCUUUUCCAAAUGUCAAGUAUCAUUUCCUUAGACCAUGAGAUUAUGCAACUCCUGGAUACCGUAGGAGUGCUUUGGGUGUGCCAAACGUCACAACGUAACUGGGUUACUAUAAAAGUGCACUACAGGUAUCUCCGAAAGUGUCUGUUGGGUUGGCACGAAUAGAGACUGGGAUUUGUCACUCCGUAUGACGGAGAGGUAUCUCUGGGCCCACUCGGUAAUGCAUCAUCAUAAUGAGCUCAAUGUGACCAAGUGUCUGGUCACAGGAUCAUGCAUUAUGGUACGAGUAAAGUGACUUGCCGGUAACGAGAUUAAACGAGGUAUUGGGAUACCGACGAUCGAGUCUCGGGCAAGUAACGUACCGAUUGACAAAGGGAAUUGUAUACGGGAUUGAUUGAAUCCUCGACAUCAUGGUUCAUCCGAUGAGAUCAUAGAGGAGCAUGUGGGAGCCAACAUGGGUAUCCAGAUCCCGUUGUUGGUUAUUGACCGGAGAGGCGUCUCGGUCAUGUCUGCAUGUCUUCCGAACCCGUAGGGUCUACACACUUAAGGUUCGGUGACGCUAGGGUUGUAGAGAUAUUAGUAUGCAGUAACCCGAAAGUUGUUCGGAGUCCCGGAUGAGAUCACGGACGUCACGAGGAGUUCCGGAAUGGUCCGGAGGUGAAGAAUUAUAUAUAGGAAGUCAGGUUUCGGCCAUCGGGAAAGUUUCGGGGGUCACCGGUAUUGUACCGAGACCACCGGAAGGGUCCCGGGGGUCCACCGGGUGGGGCCACCUAUCCCGGAGGGCCCCAUGGGCUGAAGUGGGAGGGGAACCAGCCCUAGGUGGGCUGGUGCGCCCCCCCCCCCUUGCCCCUCCCCCUGCGCCUAGGGUUGGAAACCCUAGGGGUGGGGGCGCCUCCACCUGGCUUGGGGGGCAAGUUUCCCCCCUGGCCGCCGCCCCCCCUUGGAGAUUGCAUCUCCUAGGGCCGGCGCCCCCCUAGGGGUCCUAUAUAAAGAGGGGGGAGGGCAGCCGCACCCAUGCUCUUGGCGCCUCCCUCCCCCCUUGCUACACCUCUCCCUCUCGUAGAAGCUCGGCGAAGCCCUGACGAGAUCGCUGCUGCAUCCACCACCACGCCGUCAUGCUGCUGGAUCUCCAUCAACCUCUCCUUCCCCCUUGCUGGAUCAAGAAGGAGGAGACGUCUUCCUCAUUCGUACGUGUGUUGAACGCGGAGGUGCUGUCCGUUCAGCAAUAGGAUCAUCGGUGAUUUGGAUCACGACGAGUACGAGUCUCUCAACCCCGUUCUCUUGAACGCUUCCGCUCGCGAUCGACAAGAGUAUGUAGAUGCACUUCUUUCUCUCGUUGCUAGAUGAACUCAUAGAUUGAUCUUGGUGAAAGCUUAGAAAAUUUUUAUUUUCUGCAACGUUCCCCAACAGCUUAAACAAGGGGGUACAGUGGAGGAGUACAAACAGCAGUUUCAAUAGUUGGUGUACCAUAUCAGGCUCUACGAGCCCACCAUCAGCAACACUUUUCUGGUCACUCGCUUUGUCAUGGGAUUGAAAGAAGAGCUGCGUUCAGCUGUGGAGUUGCAAUUGCUAGCAACAGUUCACUUGGCGGCUAUGUAUGCAUUGGUUUAGGAAGGGCUGGUCCAGCAACAAAAUUCUUUCAAGUCGAUUUAUACAAAAUAUGCAUCUACUGGAAAUGACAAUAAACAACCCUUUGCUCCUGGUGAACUGUGGAAGGCCAAACAGUUGAAAGAGUAUUGCCGUGCAAAGGGAUUAUGUUAAGGAUGUGGAGAGAAAUAUGUGCCCGUGCAUGCGUGUAAACCACCAGCUGCUCCUGCAGCUCAGUUGAAAACAGCAGAGUUAGUGGAUCCUCAUGAAAUUAUCUCAGAUGCAGUGUUAGAUGCACUGGUGGACAAUUACCAGUAGGAAUGUGCUACAAUUUCUGACACAGCUCUGUCUGGAGCAUCACAACCCAAAACCAUUCAGCUGAGGGCUCUCAUAGGGAAUCAAGUGGUGCUGAUACUCAUUGACUCAGGGAGUACACACAGAUUUGUGGAUGAAGCAUUGUUGGACAGGGUUUCAGUACCUGCACAAAAAAUGCAGAGACCUAUGCAAGUGAAGGUGGCCAAUGGAGGACUGGUAGACUGUAGCAAAUUUGUGCCUGAACUGACUUGGUGGAUUCAGGGACAGCUUUUCCAGUGACAUGCAAGUGCUUCCUCUAGGAGGCUAUGAUAUUAUAUUAGGGAUGGAAUGGAUAAAGAAGUGGGGUAUGAUACAGUGUCAUUGGGCUGAGAAGUGGAUUCAGUUUGAAUACCAACAGAAAAACGUUGGGUUGCAAGGAGUACUACCUGCUAAAGUAGAGCCACUUAAGGAAGUCUCCAUGGAACAGUUAAGGAAAUGGGAAAAGGAAAUGACAUCUGGGCAAUAGCUACGCUGCAUCAUAUUGUAGUUAUCCCUCAAACUCAAAUACCUCAGGAAGUCCAACAGGUGUUACAGGCAAAACAAAGUUGUGUUCAAUGAUCCCAAAACCCUACCUCUAUAGAGAGAUUUUGAUCAUGAAAUACAUCUAGUACCUGGUGCAGUUCCUGUCAACUGCAGUCCAUAUAGGUAUUCACCACAAUAGAAGGAUGAGAUAGAGCGACAAGUAGCUGACAUGCUAUAGUCAGUGCUCGUCACACCCAGUUUAAGUCCUUUUGCAUCUCCUGUGCUACUGGUCAAGAAAAAGGAUGGCACCUGGAGAUUUUGUGUGGACUACAGGAGACUGAAUGAAGUGACAAUCAAAAACAAAUUUCCCCUGCCUGUAACUGAUGAACAGUUGGAUGAGUUAGGAGGAGCCAAAUGGUUUCCUAAGCUAGAUAUGAGGUGUGUAUAUCAUCAAAUUCGAAUGGCAGAAGCAGAUGAGUUUAAAACAGCUUUUAAAACCCACAAUGGAUAGUAUCAAUUCAAAGUGAUGUCAUUAGGAUUGUCCACAGCUCCUGCUACAUUUCAGUGCUUCAUGAAUUACAUAUUCAAAGGCUCUAGCAGGAAAUUUGUGUUAAUAUUCAUGGAUGAUAUUUUGGUUUUCAGUGGCACAAUAGAAGAACAUGUCACUCAUUUGCAGUCAGUAUUUGAUAAUUUGAAGGAAAACAACUUGUUUGUGAAAGAAAGCAAGUGCUCCUUAGCACAACAAUCUAUGGAAUAUUUGAGUCACAUCAUUUCUAACAAAGGAGUAAGUACUGAUCCUACAAAAACUGUUGCAAUGUUGGACUGGCGAACUCCCACCAAUGUAACUGAAUUGAGGGGCUUUUUGGGCCUAACAAGGUACUACAGAAAGUUUGUGCAGAGCUAUGGUCUGCUGGCAAUGCCACUCACAGCAUUGCUCAAGAAGCAGUCCUUCCAGUGGUCUGAAACUGCUGAAACGGCAUUUUAGUUACUCAAACAAGCCAAGGCCACAACACCUGUGUUAGCACUGCCAGAUUUCACAAAAACUUUCACCAUGGACAUUGAUGCUUGCAACACUGGCAUUGGGGCAGUACUCGCACAAGUAGGACUUCCUAUAGCUUACUACAGUAAAGCCCUAGGAGUGAACAGUCAGAAGAUAUCCAUAUAUGAGAAAGAAUUUCUGGCUAUCAUGAUGGCCAUUAACAGAUGGAGAUCUUAUCUGUCUAGAGCUCCAUUUGUUAUCAGGACAGAUCACUAGAGUUUGUGUCACCUGGGAGACCAGAACUUAACAUCUGAUUUGCAAAGGAAAGCAAUGACAAAGCUAGUAGGACUAGAUUUCUCUAUUUAGUACAAAAAUGGUGUUGAAAAUACAGUUGCAGAUGCAUUGUCUAGAGUGGCACACCUGUUCCCAGUACAAGCACUGUCUACCAGCAAGCCUGUGUGGGUCCAGGAGAUCUUGAAUUCUUACACUAUUGACCUUGCUGCCCAGGAAAAGCUCACCAAAUUGGCACUGGACAAUCAAGCUUGUCCUGGGUUUCAACUUCAGGAGGGCCUCAUUAAACAGGAAGGGAAAAUAUGGGUGGGAGCUAAUACUGGGCUCCAAACCAAGCUCAUACAAGCCUUCCACUCCUCUCCAAUAGGAGGUCACUCUGGUAUGUUGUCAACUUAUCACAAAGUGAAACAACUAUUCAGCUGGACUGGUCUCAAGAAAGAUGUGGAAAAUUUUGUGAAACAAUGCAAUGUGUGUCAGCAAGCAAAACAUGCGCACUGCAGAGUGCCUGGCCUGCUACAACCAUUACUUGUACCUGAUGGACUUGGCAAGCAAUCAGUAUGGAUUUCAUUGAGGGUUUGCCCAAAUCAGAAGGGUACAAUGCCAUUUUGGUGGUUGUUGACCGUUUUACCAAAGUAAGUCAUUUCUUACCUCUGAAACAUCCUUUCACAGCAGCAUGAGUAGCAAAGGUUUUCCUCAACACUGUGUUUAGACUAUAUGGGCUAUCGUUGUUCAUAGUUUCAGAUAGAGACAGAAUCUUCACCAAUGCCUUUUGGAAAGAAUUAUUAAGAAUUUGGGGCACUGAGUUGCAAAUGAGCAUAAUUUACCACCCUCAACUACCUCAAGCAGAGUUCUGGUACAACACCACUUACCACUCCUCCCUGGGUUGCACUCCUUAUAAAGCCCUAUAUGGAUAUGAGCCACAUGUGGGACAGUUGUACAGUCAAACUCAGUCUCACAACACUGAAGUACAGCAUUGGUUGUCUAUACAUACUGAACCCACAGCAGCAAUAAAGGAACAGUUAGCCAAAGCACAGAGCAAGUAUAAGCGGUUUGAGAUUGCCAGAGGACUGACAGAGUUCAUAGAAGGAGAGAUGGUCUAUUUACGCCUACAAUCGUAUGCCCAGUCGUUAGUGGUUAAUCUUCCCUGCCCUAAACUGGCCAUGAAAUAUUUUGGUCCCUUCAAAAUUCUCUCCAAGAUCUGUCAAGCAUCAUACAUAUUGGAAUUGACGUGAGGAAGCUUGGUUCAUCCGGUGCUUCACGUCUAGGGGAGGAGGAAAAUAGGGCUUUAUAGCACCGUCAACGUGAGCGCGGAUCUCUGCGGGUCGGAGAAGGAUUGAGUCCCCAUCCCAUAGGCAGUGGAUGGAGUUGUGACGGCGCCUAUCGUUGGCGAUAGCCUGGAAGUACGCGGUGUUAGCGUCCCCACAGAGCACCCACCGUUGGGUGCCCCAUUGGUGCCAAUAAGCCUCCUCAUUGGUGUAUAUGACCGAAAGCUGGCCUUUGAGAUCGUAGCGCAACAUCCAUUCAUCGGAGGAGAGCCUGGUGGAGUCUGCCAGAGAGUCUAGGGCUUUAAUGGAUGUAAGCAGAGCGGAUUUCCGCUCCCUAAGGUCCCGUCCAAGGUUGGCUCCCCAACCCUUCAUGAGCUGCCGGGACAGUUUAGCACAAAACUGCUAGGUGUCAAUCACGGAUAGAGACCCGUGGGGACGUCCUCGGGCCUCCACCCACCUAGCGGCCACCGCGUCCACAAAGCCCGGUUGGUUUAGCCAGAAUAGCUCGAACCGAAACCGGGGAGGUGUGGUCGGGCGGUCAUCAGAUGUGGAAAGUUGCAAGGAGACGUGGUCCGACCCAAUGCGGGUGAUAGCACGCAAAUAGGCGAGGGGGCACCGGAGCUCCCAUUUCGGGAUACUAGAACGUGAUCCAGGAUGGAUCACGUUGGGUCGGCUUGUCUGUUGGUCCAGGUAAACCUGGCCCCAGUCUAUUCCAACUCGUAGAGCCCCAAAUCCGCGAUGUAGUCGUUAAACAUUUGCAUGCGGGGAAGGUUCACUAAGUCAUUGUUCUUGUCCUCGGGGGAUCGCAAGAGAUUGAAGUCCCCACCGACCACUACAAGCAGUUGAGCUGUCGAGACCUUCCUCCGAAGCUUGUUAAGGAAGGUCGCCGAGCGGCGGUGAUCGGCAGGGCCAUAGACAAUCACAAUCUCCCACUUAAAGUUGAGUGAGCACUCAAACACUUCCAUACUAACGAAGAACUCGCCCCUGUCCAUGCCGCCCACCUCAAAGGUGUCAUCCUUUACGCCUAGAAGGAUGCCACUCGAAUGGCCGGUGCUCCCAGUAGAAGGAAGCCAGUGCUAGGCAAACAGGUGAGAGCUCAGACGUUCAAGCUCUUGGAGGGAGAAGUCCGUCAGCAUGGUUACUUUGAUGGCUACAAUGUCAAUGUGUUCGUCUCACAUGUACUCGACUAACUGGCGACGCCGGCCGUCUUGGCCGAAGCCGCGGAUGUUCCAAAAUAGGUUCUGCAUCAUGGCGCCAUCGGGGGGCUGCUUGACCCCAAGACAGUGGAGGCGCUACGGGCCCUGAAGCAGCAGUGCGGGAGCGAGUGCGGCCACGGAUUUCCUCCACCAACACCACGGGGGGGAGGCCGGGGUGCCUGCGUACGUAGGAGUCGGGCCCGGGUCUCGGCAAGUUGCCCGUCAAGGAUCUCGUGGGCGCGAAGCGCCUCAAACUGCUCUAAGGGGGACCUAAUUCCCCCUGAAGACGAUGGACGAGUCGGCAGCCACCUUGGCAAGGUGGCCGAGCGGAACAGCCUCAAGCGUGGAAAACGAGCAAUAGGAAGAACUGGAGGGGAAAUCGAUCGCACCUGGCUCGAGGUUCCGGGCCACCGCCUGGAGCUCAAGACACUCGGGAAUGGACGGCACCGGGAAGCCGGACGGGCGGUCCGCAUCGAGACAGGUACUGCGGCGGGAGGCAGUCACCGGUGUCGAGAAGGCCCGGGUCCGUCAGGCGUACGACACCGUCCGGGGCGGAUGGGAAGCGACGGGGGUGACCACAUUGUCGGUGGCCCCCAGGAGCAGCAGUGUCGGUGAAGCGGGUGCAUAUGCCUCCGAAGGGGCGACAGUCCCCGACCGUGCUGAGGAGGGUGGGUCCAGGACCAGCGAACCGACCUCCAGCGCCACCCGAGGGGCGGAGCCCGGAGGGGUGGGGGAGGGCAGCGAUGAGCAACCCCCAGGGGGCCCCGGCAGGGGGCGCCAGGGGGAUCGGCCGCCGUGCAAGACGGCAACACUAGGAGGUGCUCGUACGGAACCAGCUGUGAAGCGUCGAGCGCAGGGAUGGAGCAGGGGGAGCGCGGCAAAGAUGCCGGGAUGACGAGGAGACCCACGCUGGAUAUGUCGCUCAUCUUGGCAAAGGAGGCAAGGGAGGCAGCCGGCAACGGGGCAGGCAGCAUCCCGUCAGAGAGGGCCAGGGCAAGAGACCAUCCGGCUCCCGCACCCCCAUAGCUCAGAGGAGGGUCGGAGGGCUCCCGGGAGGGGGAACGGCUGUGCUCCGAGCGCUCGUCGUCGUUGUUCGGGUUGCCGUGGCGGGAGGGGCAAGGGCGGCGGUAGUGGGCGCCGUCGCGCUUGUCCGAACCACCCCCACCAAAGUGUCCAUCGUCAGAGUAUCGGGGGCUGCCAACGUGGUUGGGGGGCUCAGGGUAGAUCUUGAGGUCGAAUCCCUGGUCGUUGAAGAAGACUCAGACUGUGGCACAGAGCUUGGAGGAGUCCAGGCAUUUGACUUUGACCCGGACCUCCUCCUCUUUGCGGAGGGAGAGCUCAUCCACCACCACCACCUUGCCAAGGAUCUUAGACAUAUUGCAAAUCACCCUCUCAGAGCGGGGAAUGUCGGGGAGCCCCGCUAUGAGGAUCCAGGCCGCGUGUCCAGGACGGCCACCGCCUUGGGGUCCACCUUAGGCUCACAUAUGUUGACCACGAGCUUGUUGAGGUUAGGGUGAUGUCAUCACUGCGGGUGCAGUAGCCCAUGCGGAUGGCAUCCGGGAAGAUCACGGUGAAGGAGUUGUCCGUGAUCGGAGUCACCUGCCAGUCCCAGACGCACCGGCAUAAGUGGUUGAGCUCAUCCUCAAUCAUCUCCGGGGAUGCGACACCCACCCCGACAACGGUGACGAUCGGUUGGAGCGACGGGAAGGGAGGUGGGAUGUCAUCCACCUCGAUGUGGAAGAAGCCGAGACCCUCGAUGAUGUGGCCGUACAUCAUGAGCUCCUCCGACACCGGCCGCUCCGGGCACAAGGCCGCGGGGUGGCCCGAGUCCUUGCAUAGGUGGCACAUAGGAGGGUUGGGGCACUCGACUUGGUAGUGACCCGCAAUCCCGCGGUUGAAGCAAGGUGGCGGGUCACAGGAAGCCCUGGUGGCGGGCGUGGCCGAAGCUGCGGGUGGAGGGGCCGAGGCAUUGGGGGCCUUCUUCUUCUUCUUCUUGGCACCUUGGCGCCCCCUCGCCCCGGUGCCGCCAUUACCCAAAGGAAGACUGGGCUGGAUCUGUGGUGGCUGGUACCGGCGCGGAGGGGCGGCGUCUGAGCCUGGGGGCGGGGAGGGGACGGAGAGCGGGCGCAGCGAUGAGUAGGGGAGGGGGCCAGCGACGGCCCGAGCGCCACGAGUCUGCUAAGGGGGAGCGGGGCCGGUCCCUGCGGUCUUCGCGAGCGGGGGACCAACGUGAGUCGCGGCCUGGGGAGUGGCGGUCGUCCCGCGUCGGCAAGCGGCGGGACUCGCGGGGAAGGGACCAGCAGGCAUCUCGGGAGGAGAGCUGGUGACGCAGGUCGGCUUCCCUGCGCUGGCCCUCCGGGGAGGCGCGGGCAGGAGCCCGACGAUCGUCCAGCGAGCAUUUGGAGCGGCCAGCGUCGUCGNNNNNNNNNNNNNNNNNNNNNNNNNNNNNNNNNNNNNNNNNNNNNNNNNNNNNNNNNNNNNNNNNNNNNNNNNNNNNNNNNNNNNNNNNNNNNNNNNNNNNNNNNNNNNNNNNNNNNNNNNNNNNNNNNNNNNNNNNNNNNNNNNNNNNNNNNNNNNNNNNNNNNNNNNNNNNNNNNNNNNNNNNNNNNNNNNNNNNNNNNNNNNNNNNNNNNNNNNNNNNNNNNNNNNNNNNNNNNNNNNNNNNNNNNNNNNNNNNNNNNNNNNNNNNNNNNNNNNNNNNNNNNNNNNNNNNNNNNNNNNNNNNNNNNNNNNNNNNNNNNNNNNNNNNNNNNNNNNNNNNNNGGAAGCAGGGGCGGGGUCGGAACAGGGAGACAGGGGCGCGGGGAGAGAUGGCUGCUGGAGGGGAAACCCUUGCGGUAGCCAUAUCCCUCCAUACACAGCUGGGCGAGGCCGUUGGGACCCAACUGGGCUGUCAACAGCCGCGAGCCGCCUUGGCCCAUCAAUCACAGGCGGCCCAGAGGGGCCUGCAACUGGUAACGGCGCGGUGGGAAGGGCGAUCGCCGGAGAGCCACCAGGCCCUGCCGACGGCGAGGCGGACAAUCCAGCCGAAGCACGGGUGCUAAGACGCCUCCAAGACGAGCGGGCGGGACCGAGGUCGGCCCGACCAGCGACCCCCCAGCCAGCUGGGCGCCGGCGGCGGCAGGAACCCCCAGCCCUCAAGGCGUCGCCUUGCCCCGCGGCUACAUGAGGUGAGCUCGGCAGCCGGCGAAGAUGCCGAGCACGCGUGCAGGCAGCCGAACUCCCACCCCUGGGAGUAAGGCCACCGGCGGCACGAGGCUCCAGCAUGCGAGCCGGAACAGGGGGGCCACGCGGUCGCGGCAGACGACCGGACGGCCCGCAGCGAGGUCGUCGGCCUCCGCCACGUCCGCCCAGACAACCCACACAGGGGCCAAGGGAGGCGGGGGGAGGGAGCGGGGGCGGGGGAGACGCCGGCAAGGUCGUCGACGGCCAGGGACGGGGGCGGGGAUGACGGAGCAGGCGCAGGAGAAGCAACACCAAGCGCAUCGCCCCGCAGGUCGCCAGGGUCGCCCGAGCACUCAACCAUCCUGCUUACCUAUCAAGCAGUUUCCAGUAUCCUAAUUUUGACUUGACGUUCUGAAAUCGAGAACGAGAGAUCGCCUUCUGUAUGAUUAUGAGAUUAUUUUUUGAAACUAUGAUGAUAUUUAUAACAAAUUCGGAAACUAUACACCCUAAUGCAGAAAAAUCAAAAGUAUCACCCCGUCGGCCUCCUGUUGGCCGAAGAGGGACUUUUCAGCCUAUUGUAGCCCGAAGAGGGACUUUUCAGCCAACCAUUGGCCAAAAAGGACUUUUCGGCCAACAGUUGACCAAAGAGUCUCUCUUCUGCCAACACAUGCUCUACUGUUUUAGAAAAUUCAUAUCAAUUAGGACUUUUAGUAUUUUAAUUUGAUUAUUUUUGCAUUAAAUUAGAAAUUUUAUGAAAUUUUUGUAGAUAUCAAGUUUGACUAGAUUUGAAAGUUUGAAUUUGAAUUUUCAUGAAUUUUCUCAAAUUACUAGAUUGACUAUAAUUUGAGCUAGGAGUAUUUUUUUUCAAAUGAUUCUUUUUGCUACUGGUUCUUUGUGACUUUGUUUAGAAUUUUAUAAUUAUUUAAAAUUAGGAUUUUAUGAAAACAGUUCGGUUUUAGUGUUUUAUAGGUUUUAUGCUAUUUCUUUUAAUUUUAAUUGCUUUAAAUUGUUUUCUUUAGUUUUUUUGACAUAUUCUUUUUAUUUCUGUUUAGUUAUCAGUAGCUAUUUUAUUUGUAGUAUUUUUUUUAUUUUAUUUCUUUUAUCCUAUGGUUGGCCAAAAAGUCCCUCGUCAGUCAAUGGUAGGCCGAAAAGUCCCUCUUCGGCCAACAGGAAGCCGACAGGAUGAUACUUUUGAUUUUUCUGCAUUAAAGUGUAUAGUUUCCGAAUUUGCUAUAAAAAUCAUCAUAGUUUCAAAAAAAAAUCCAAUUAUGAUUGCAUAACUAACCAUUUUGAAUAGCCUUAAAAAAACACUCUGAAUAGACAAAGAGGAACAUUCCAGAGAUAGUAGCAUUACAACUUACAAUUUUCAAACAGCAUAUCUGAAUGUCCACAGAUGAACACGAGAUCGAGAAUCAAGUACUAGACAAGGGUUUACACAAUAAAAUUAAAUAGAUCAGAACAUUAGUACAUAGAAAAUUGACUAAGAAAACUACAAAAACGAAAGAUUCUAACAGGUAAAGGGGGGUAAAGAUUGCAUCAUAUGACUAUUGUAUCUAG